rnacentral:rRNA from 1 species
GACGAACGCUGGCGGCGUGCCUAAUACAUGCAAGUAGGACGCACAGUCUAUACCGUAGCUUGCUACACCAUAGGCUGUGAGUUGCGAACGGGUGAGUAACGCGUAGGUAACCUGCCUAUUAGAGGGGGAUAACUAUUGGAAACGAUAGCUAAUACCGCAUAACAGUAUGUAACACAUGUUAGAUGCUUGAAAGAUGCAAUUGCAUCGCUAGUAGAUGGACCUGCGUUGUAUUAGCUAGUAGGUAGGGUAAUGGCCUACCUAGGCGACGAUACAUAGCCGACCUGAGAGGGUGGUCGGCCACACUGGGACUGAGACACGGCCCAGACUCCUACGGGAGGCAGCAGUAGGGAAACUUCGGCAAUGGGGGGAACCCUGAACGAGCAACGCCGCGUGAGGGAAGAAGGUUUUCGGAUCGUAAAGCUCUGUUGUUAAGGAAGAACGAGUGUGAGAAUGGAAAGUUCAUACUGUGACGGUACUUAACCAGAAAGGGACGGCUAACUACGUG